rnacentral:lncRNA from 1 species
UCUUGUUUACUUGGCAAGCAUUACCUGUAUGAUGACGUUCACUUUGCACGCAUUACAGGUACGUUUACUUGGUACUCGGUAGGGUACGUAGUUCAUUUGAGUAUUUGGAACUUUAUUUUUUACAAUAAUUUUAUAACAUUCUCUUUACGAUGAACUCAAUAUAUAUUACGCAUUAUAGUCAAUUCCAUCAGUGACGUAGUGUAAAUGAGAAAAUUAUAUAAUAUGAUUUUAUCUGUCCUCACUUUAUUAAGGUGCUGCAUGAAGUAUGAGUGUCCAGAUAUAAAUUUCUAGAAGUAAGACAUAACAUGUACUUGGUGGUUUAUUUAUUUGAGCUAACUUCCAAAAUAGCCUGCGGAAUCCAUUCACAACAACAAGUAUCUGGGUAAAAGUUAAACCCUAUGAAGGUGGAUCUGAAGAGUAAUGUAAAUUUUGGUUCUGGAGCAAGGGAAAAACAAGAACACCGUGAUUGUUCUUAGAUAAGCCACCGAAUGCAUUUAAUGUUCGACUGGACCACCAAUUUGUCAAGAGCAGUCCAUAAAUGUUUUUAGCACGAACACUGUAUAUUGAUGGGGAC